rnacentral:misc_RNA from 1 species
ACAUGAAUCCAUGUAUAAACCAUUGUGCAUUGUCACCCCCUCAUCGGAUCUGUAGUUUGGGAACGAUUGAAACGUUACAACGGUCACUAUUGUAAUUUGAAGACCCAGUUUCUUUCUAGUCUGUCUUGAGCUUCCGGGCGAAAGAUGAACACCGAACUCGAUUAACGCCGACGAGUGUAAUUCAAAUUUACAUAACCUAUUGAUUAACAAUUGAAACCCCUUUUAAACUUUUGAACUAAUGUUUUCAUACUCCAAUAAAACGGAGAUGAAAUUCUUACGAAACAAAGAACAACUCUUAGCAACGGAUAUCUUGGUUCU